rnacentral:rRNA from 1 species
GAUGAACGCUAGCGGCAGGCUUAACACAUGCAAGUCGAGGGGCAGCACGAGUAGCAAUACUUGGUGGCGACCGGCAAACGGGUGCGGAACACGUACGCAAUCUACCUUUAUCUGGGGCAUAGCCCGAAGAAAUUCGGAUUAAUUCCCCAUAAUAUGAUUAAGUGGCAUCACUUGGUUAUUAAAACUCCGGUGGAUAGAGAUGAGCGUGCGUCCCAUUAGCUAGUGGUAGGGUAACGGCCUACCAAGGCGACGAUGGGUAGCUGGUGUGAGAGCACGACCAGCCACACGGGCACUGAGACACGGGCCCGACUCCUACGGGAGGCAGCAGUGAGGAAUAUUGGUCAAUGGACGCAAGUCU